GGAACGAACGCUGGCGGCAGGCUUAACACAUGCAAGUCGAGCGCCCCGCAAGGGGAGCGGCAGACGGGUGAGUAACGCGUGGGGAUAUGCCCAAAGGUGCGGAAUAACUCAGGGAAACUUGAGCUAAUACCGCAUGUGCCCGAAAGGGGAAAGAUUUAUCGCCUUUGGAUUAACCCGCGUCAGAUUAGCUAGUUGGUGAGGUAAUGGCUCACCAAGGCGACGAUCUGUAGCUGGUCUGAGAGGAUGACCAGCCACACUGGGACUGAGACACGGCCCAGACUCCUACGGGAGGCAGCAGUGGGGAAUAUUGGACAAUGGGCGCAAGCCUGAUCCAGCCAUGCCGCGUGAGUGAUGAAGGCCUUAGGGUUGUAAAGCUCUUUCGACGGGGACGAUAAUGACGGUACCCGUAGAAGAGCCCCGGCUAACUUCGUGCCAGCAGCCGC
rnacentral:rRNA from 1 species